rnacentral:rRNA from 1 species
CCUACGGGAGGCAGCAGUGGGGAAUCUUGCGCAAUGGGCGAAAGCCUGACGCAGCAACGCCGCGUGCGGGAAGAAGGCCUUCGGGUUGUAAACCGCUUUCAGCAGGAACGAAAAUGACGGUACCUGCAGAAGAAGGAGCGGCCAACUACGUGCCAGCAGCCGCGGUGACACGUAGGCUCCAAGCGUUGUCCGGAUUUAUUGGGCGUAAAGAGCUCGUAGGCGGUUCAGUAAGUCGGGUGUGAAAACUCUGGGCUCAACCCAGAGCCUGCAUUCGAAACUGCUGUGACUAGAGUUUGGUAGGGGAGCGGGGAAUUCCUAGUGUAGCGGUGAAAUGCGCAGAUAUUAGGAGGAACACCGGUGGCGAAAGCGCCGCUCUGGGCCAAUACUGACGCUGAGGAGCGAAAGCGUGGGUAGCAAACAGGAUUAGAUACCCUGGUAGUCCACGCCGUAAACGAUGGGCACUAGGUGUGGGUUUACAACUAACGAAAUCCGUGCCGUCGCUAACGCAUUAAGUGCCCGCCUGGGGAGGUACGGUCGCGAGACGUAAACGUACGAAGAAGUAGACGGUCGUGAGACGUUGUCCGAACGGACGACGACGAGGGAGGAGG